CACGUGGGUAACCUGCCUGUAAGACUGGGAUAACUCCGGGAAACCGGGGCUAAUACCGGAUGCUUGUUUGAACCGCAUGGUUCAAACAUAAAAGGUGGCUUCGGCUACCACUUACAGAUGGACCCGCGGCGCAUUAGCUAGUUGGUGAGGUAAUGGCUCACCAAGGCGACGAUGCGUAGCCGACCUGAGAGGGUGAUCGGCCACACUGGGACUGAGACACGGCCCAGACUCCUACGGGAGGCAGCAGUAGGGAAUCUUCCGCAAUGGACGAAAGUCUGACGGAGCAACGCCGCGUGAGUGAUGAAGGUUUUCGGAUCGUAAAGCUCUGUUGUUAGGGAAGAACAAGUACCGUUCGAAUAGGGCGGUACCUUGACGGUACCUAACCAGAAAGCCACGGCUAACUACGUGCCAGCAGCCGCGGUAAUACGUAGGUGGCAAGCGUUGUCCGGAAUUAUUGGGCGUAAAGGGCUCGCAGGCGGUUUCUUAAGUCUGAUGUGAAAGCCCCCGGCUCAACCGGGGAGGGUCAUUGGAAACUGGGGAACUUGAGUGCAGAAGAGGAGAGUGGAAUUCCACGUGUAGCGGUGAAAUGCGUAGAGAUGUGGAGGAACACCAGUGGCGAAGGCGACUCUCUGGUCUGUAACUGACGCUGAGGAGCGAAAGCGUGGGGAGCGAACAGGAUUAGAUACCCUGGUAGUCCACGCCGUAAACGAUGAGUGCUAAGUGUUAGGGGGUUUCCGCCCCUUAGUGCUGCAGCUAACGCAUUAAGCACUCCGCCUGGGGAGUACGGUCGCAAGACUGAAACUCAAAGGAAUUGACGGGGG
rnacentral:rRNA from 1 species